rnacentral:rRNA from 1 species
GAAGGUGGCCUGUGAGGGUUGCUGGAGGUAUCAGAAGUGCGAAUGCUGACAUAAGUAACGAUAAAGCGGGUGAAAAGCCCGCUCGCCGGAAGACCAAGGGUUCCUGUCCAACGUUAAUCGGGGCAGGGUGAGUCGACCCCUAAGGCGAGGCCGAAAGGCGUAGUCGAUGGGAAACGGGUUAAUAUUCCCGUACUUGGUGUUACUGCGAAGGGGGGACGGAGAAGGCUAUGUUGGCCGGGCGACGGUUGUCCCGGUUUAAGCGUGUAGGUGUGUGUUCCAGGUAAAUCCGGUUCACUUUAACACUGAGGCGUGACGACGAGGCACUACGGUGCUGAAGCAACAAAUGCCCUGCUUCCAGGAAAAGCCUCUAAGCAUCAGGUAACAUCAAAUCGUACCCCAAACCGACACAGGUGGUCAGGUAGAGAAUACCAAGGCGCUUGAGAGAACUCGGGUGAAGGAACUAGGCAAAAUGGUGCCGUAACUUCGGGAGAAGGCACGCUGACACGUAGGUGAAGUGAUUUACUCAUGGAGCUGAAGUCAGUCGAAGAUACCAGCUGGCUGCAACUGUUUAUUAAAAACACAGCACUGUGCAAACACGAAAGUGGACGUAUACGGUGUGACGCCUGCCCGGUGCCGGAAGGUUAAUUGAUGGGGUCAGCGCAAGCGAAGCUCCUGAUCGAAGCCCCGGUAAACGGCGGCCGUAACUAUAACGGUCCUAAGGUAGCGAAAUUCCUUGUCGGGUAAGUUCCGACCUGCACGAAUGGCGUAAUGAUGGCCAGGCUGUCUCCACCCGAGACUCAGUGAAAUUGAACUCGCUGUGAAGAUGCAGUGUACCCGCGGCAAGACGGAAAGACCCCGUGAACCUUUACUAUAGCUUGACACUGAACAUUGAGCCUUGAUGUGUAGGAUAGGUGGGAGGCUUUGAA